GCCCCAGUGCCUUGUUGGUCAUCCCAUCGGUGGUGUGGCUGAUGGGUGAGAAAGAGAGGGGACCAAGGAAGUAAAAGUGCUUCUCAAAAUGCAGAUUGACUUCCCACUCCUGCAGACCUGGCCUCCUGCUGUCAUUAUAGACUCCUUUCUCCCUGUUCUCCCUUUCUACUCUGCAGCAAUGCUGAGCUUCAGCCCUUUUAUCUGGCUCACUUCCCCACCCCAGGCCCUUUGCGCAUUCACAUUUUUCUAGGUUGAAAAGCCUCCCUAUCUUUUCUCCCAACCCCUGACCUCCACUCUCAUGUCCUUAAGUCCCACUAAGUCUUGAUUUAUAUGACACUUUCUCCAAAAUAUAUCUUCUUUUCCGCCAUCCUCACCCCACCUGGAUGAGUUGAAGUGUUCCUUCUUGGUGCUCCGUAGCACUUGGGUUUCACCUCUUGUGAUACUUUUCAUUCUUUUAAGUAUUUAAUAAUCUCUUUAUGGCAGAAGAAUGGAGGGAUUGUGAGGACAGAGACUGUGUAUUAUUAGCAAAGUCACAUUUCAGGGGUUCAGUGGAUGAUUGCGUGUCAAAGGAAUAAGGGGGCUGUAUGAACUGGGAAGAAGGGAAAGUUGUCCCGAGGUGGAGAUGGGAGGAGGUUUUGGAAAUGCUAGUGGCCAGAAACUGUGCCUAGCUGCUGUGAGGUGAGGAACUUUGUUCUGCUGCACCCUUCCACCAUAAUGCUCUGCCUCACCACAGGUCCAAGGACAACAGAGCCAUGGUGCCAUGGACUGAAACCUCUAAACUGCCUAGAAGCAGUGGAGCCAAGUGACCAUGGACUGAAACAUCUGAAACCAUGAGCCAGAAUAAGCCUUUGCUCCAUUAAGUUGAUGUUCCCAAGUAUUUUGUUAUAGUGAUGAGCAGUCUAUUGAACAUUAUAGCUUAGUCCCACAGUCCACCAUAGAGUAUUGGCUGUUCACCUUCACGACUGCAUAGCUGGCUGUCAGAUGCCACCACUGCCACUGCCCAGCGACACCAGUGUAUCCCCCUGUACAUCAUUAGCCAGGACAAGAUCAAAAUUCAAAAUCUGUAGUAUGGUUUCUACUCAAUGUGUAUCACAUUUUUACUAUUAUAAAGUGGAAAAAUAAUAAAGUCAAACUACUAUAAGUCAGGAACAGUUUGCAUAUGUCUACAUGUAUAUACACAUACACCAUCUCUUGUUUACUUCAUACACACACACACUUCUCCCUCAGUGACUAAGCCAGCAGAGACAGUAUGUGAAACACACUCAAGGAACCUGGUAUUUGUCAUAUUGCUUUUUCCCAG
ensembl:lncRNA